rnacentral:rRNA from 1 species
AUUGAACGCUAGCGGGAUGCCUUACACAUGCAAGUCGAACGGCAGCGCGGACUUCGGUCUGGCGGCGAGUGGCGAACGGGUGAGUAAUGUAUCGGAACGUGCCCAGUAGCGGGGGAUAACUACUCGAAAGAGUAGCUAAUACCGCAUACGCCCUACGGGGGAAAGGGGGGGAUCGCAAGACCUCUCACUAUUGGAGCGGCCGAUAUCGGAUUAGCUAGUUGGUGAGGUAAAGGCUCACCAAGGCGACGAUCCGUAGCUGGUUUGAGAGGACGACCAGCCAAACUGGGACUGAGACACGGCCCAGACUCCUACGGGAGGCAGCAGUGGGGAAUUUUGGACAAUGGGGGCAACCCUGAUCCAGCCAUUCCGCGUGUGCGAUGAAGGCCUUCGGGUUGUAAAGCACUUUUGGCAGGAAAGAAAUCGCACGGAUUAAUACUCUGUGUGGAUGACGGUACCUGCAGAAUAAGCACCGGCUAACUACGUGCCAGCCGCCGCAGUAA